rnacentral:misc_RNA from 1 species
GAUGAAGAACGCAGCGAAAUGCGAUAAGUAAUGUGAAUUGCAGAAUUCAGUGAAUCAUCGAAUCUUUGAACGCACCUUGCGCCCUUUGGCCAUUCCGAAGGGCAUGCCUGUUUGAGUAUCAUGAACACCUCAACUCUUUAUGGUUUUCCAUGAUGAGCUUGGACUCUGGGGGUUUUGCUGGCUCACAGUCGGCUCCUCUAAAAUGAAUCAGCUUACCAGUGUCUGGUGGGUAUCAUGGGUGUGAUAACUAUCUACGCUUGUGGUUUUUCCACCAGGUAACCUUCAGCAGUGGAGGUUCGCUGGAGCUCAUAGAUGUCUCUCCUCAGUGAGGACAGCCCUUUGAAUGUUUGAUCUCAAAUCAGGUAGGACUACCCGCUGAACUUAAGCAUAUCAAUAAGCGGAGGA